rnacentral:rRNA from 1 species
UGGGGACGACGUCAAAUCAUCAUGCCCUUUAUGUCCUGGGCUACACACGUACUACAAUGGCCGUUACAACGGGAAGCGAAGGAGCAAUCCGGAGCAAAUCCCUUAAAGGCGGUCCCAGUUCAGAUUGUGGGCUGAAACUCGCCCACCAUGAAGGCGGAAUUGCUAGUAAUUGCAGAUCAGCAUGCUGCAGUGAAUACGUUCCCGGGCCUU